GACGGAGGCAAAGCCCUUGCUCUGUUUGAAGGAUAGUUUCGUCUGUUUGCCACACUUCCCCUCCCUCCUCUCCCUCUUUUUUCACCACCUUCCUCUGUUUCCUUCUCCUUGAAGGCGAUGAGAACUGCAGGACUGAUUACCUUAACUGCUGGGCCUUCUAUCAAAAAACUGAGCCAAAAAUGGUGGAUUUGGACAAACCCCCUGCUCAGUGCAGCACCUGUUUUCUCUAUUUAUAUUACUGAAAGGCUUCAGUAAAAUAUUAUGAAAAAUAAGAUGCCACCUGGGGACAACACUGCCUAGGCAGCGCCAGGUUUCAUGUAUAAAUGUGCUAGAUUGCUUUUCUCCCAUCAGCCUAGUCUUGAUUUGAAAUUCAUUUUUAAAAGAUAGUUUUUCCCUCCGCGAUCUCUGAUGUUUUGCUCUGUAUUUAAAAAAAAAAAAAAAAGUUUUCAGGAAUUUUAAAGCAUUGCUAUGAAGGGAAAAGUAAUUUUAACAUUUUAGUUUUUCCUCCUGUCUAAAAGAGUGGGCCAAAAGGCAAUAUCGCAGUUGUGCAGGGGGAAUAUUUGCUGGCAGUAUUUAAGGAAUUGUGGCAAAUAGAAGAAAUCGCAGAAGAACGGAUAUAAGCAAGUGUACCACACUGCAAAAAGGGGGAAAAGUGGAUUCCGUACAUCACAAACUGGUAAGCCUGGUGAUGUUGCUUAACUGAAUUCAAAAACAACGUUGUGUUGCGACUUUUGUUGAAAACCCCUUUCGUCUAUUUAUUCAGCAAAUAUUUAUUGAUGCCCAUUAUGCGUAGCAGGAACUGCCAAGAGCUGGAGAAACAAAACUAAACGAGAUGCCGUCUUGUCUGAGUUCGAAUGGAUUCCUUUCCCUCUGGUCGGGGAAGCGUAAAGUACCCAGGCGAUUAUAAACCUGUGUCUUCAGUGUUAAUCUUAGCACACUGGCUAUAAGAGGAUGUUAAAGAUGUUAGACUUUCUGGAGAAAGUUGAUAAUUCUAAUAGCAGGCGUUGAGAACAUCUGCUUUGAAUGCAGACGGAGUGAGUUUGUAAGUGCUGAGGUUUAAGAGCUGUGUCACUCUGGAUUUUCUGUGGAUUUCCCUUUUUUGGAAAUUCCGAUGGUAUUUUUAAAGGAAUGUUUGCAAUGCUAUGACAGUGAAAUUCAAGAUCUAGAGGAAAUGGAUGCUUUCUCGGCAAAAUUUAAAUUUUCAAAUGGACCCAAGAAGAGGUUGAAAACCCAGAAGACCCAUAGAACUAGAACAUGAAUUUGCAAUGUAACUUUUAAAAUACAUGCCAAAUCCAAAUAGCUUUGCAUCUGAAUUUUACGUAUCUUUCCAAAAACAGAAAAUUCUCAAGGACUAUUCUUGAGGCUAGAAAAAGAGAAUGUUUUCACUUUUUGAAACUAAGAUAAACUUACUACCCAAACCUUG